ACUAAUUUAAAAAUUUAUGUUUUACAUUUUCAAUAAAACUAAUACAUGAGGUAGGUAACAAUAUUAAUUCUUACUUUGAUGAAAAAUUAUCAUACUCAAAUAAACAAAAUUAAAAAUAAUGGUUUUACACUUAAUUACAUUUUAACAAAUCCUACAAUGUACAAAAAAAUAUAAACCUGUUAGUCUCAGUAAAACAGUUACAUUCUUCAUUGAUGUUACUUUUAAGUAGGUAUAAUAGUAUUGAUAUUUUACUUUUUGUUCAGUAUAUUUAUACUUGUUAUUUAGGUACAAAUCAAUUUUAAAUUAUUGAUUUAUAUUUUUUAUACCUAUUAAUAAUGGAAUAUUUAUUUUUUAAACAAAAGUUAUAUUAAUAACAAUCUAGAUUUUAUUUAUAAUAAUAUUAAUCAUUCUAUUAAUUAAUUAGUUCCAUUAACGACUAGAUAUAAACUAUUGUAUCCAGUAUAGUUCAGUAAAAAAUGUUUAAUGCUUAUAAAGCAUUCUAAUUUAAAAAAAAUCAAACAACUUUGAUCUCCA